rnacentral:rRNA from 1 species
CCUACGGGAGACAGCAGUAGGGAAUAUUGCACAAUGGGCGAAACCCUGAUGCAGCAACGCCGCGUGAGCGAUGAAGGUUUUCGGGUCGUAAACUUCUGUCCUUAAGGAAGAUUAUGACGGUAUCUGACGAAUAAGCACCGGCUAACUACGUGCCAGCAGCCGCGGUAAUACGUAGGGGGCUAGCGUUACCCGGAAUCACUGGGCGAAAAGGGUGCGUAGGCGGGGUAUUAAGUCAGAGGUGAAAGCCUACGGCUAAACUACAGUACGCCUUUGAAAAUGGUGAUCUUGAGUUCAGGAGAGGAAGGUGGAAUUCCUGGUGUAGGGGUGAAAUGCGUAGAGAUCAAGAGGAAUACCAGUUGCGAAGGCGGCUCGCUGGACUAUUACUGACACUGAUGCACGAAAGCGUGGGGAGCAAACAGGAUUAGAUACCCGGGUAGUC